GGAAAGAGUUGGUUUCUGAUUAGAAACCUUUGCUCACUUUUUGGAUUAUUUAUCUCCAACUCUAAGUUUCUAAGAAUAUGUUGUGCCUUUUAUGGAGUUUGAUAGGAUUAAGGAAAUCAUGGUUUUGAGUGAAGGGAAACAAGAAACGUUUUACUCUUCUUGCACUUUGUAGUAUUGAUUUCCUUGGCCCCGCUCUGAGCCAGGUACCCGUGGUGACUUCUUUCCUUUCAGGAAUUCCUGAAUUCAGCAGUUCAGGAAUUUUUCUUUCCCAGGAAGCUGAAAUGGAAAGCACACACCCUGUGCUUUCCAAAUUAGCACAAUAAAUAAAUUAGCACACACCCUGGCCAUACAUUUUGAAACCCGUGUUUCUUUUUGGUCAGGGACUGGCUGGUUAAUUGUGUUUUGUUUUUUUGUUCCCCUGCCUUUGAUCUGUUGGUUUCUUUAUCUCCCCCCAGACUGUGUGUCAUAGCUCUUGCUUUGAGUCUGCAGCCUGGAUCUCGUGGGUGUUGUCUUGCACUGGAGACUGGAGGGUAUCAGAGUGGAGCCUGAAGACCUGGGUUCGAGCCCUGACCCUACCUCUGAUGAGACAGGAAACUCCGAGUGAGUCACUUCCUGCCUCUGCCCAGUGCACCUGACCAAGAGCUUAGAGAGAUGUGUGUUGGACAAGUGAGCAGAAGACUAAACAAAUAGGAUACCAGGCAGGGAGUUUUACAACUUUACUAGAUUUCAGAAGGUGAUGUUUCGGUAGGAAACGUCCUCUAGCAGUUUCUGACAGUUUUUAAGGGGUCAUCAAUAACUUAGGUUGGAUGAGUCUCAGUCUUUCUUCUUCAAGGUAUUGUUUAUUUGGGAAAGAGAAACAAUUAGGUGUCAUCAAUGAGAAGUGAGUGGAUGAUACUGAGAAGAUCCCCUCCCCUCAAAAAAGCCAUGAUUAGGGGAGAAUCAUUAAAUAAUGCCCUUAUUGAUUAGGUCGUGAGUGAGGAGAGAUCUAAAUGGAAAAACAGGUAUACAUACCAUGUCUCGUAAGAGUUCUGGUUUACUAGGUAAGUUAGGCCUUUGUUCACUCAUUCACCAAACGUUUAAAGAGCACUCAGUGACAGACCUAUGUCAGGCCGAGUUAUUUGUGUUAGAAUACUCUUUGCCCUUUAAUUAGCUGCCCAUAUAGAUUUACCAGAGGUCUGGAAACUUGCCCGGGUCACCCAGCAAAUAAAUGGUGGAGCUGGCCUUUGAACCUGGGUAGUGCGACUCCAGGAUGCAUCAGCCCAGUCCUGCUCUGGGGAAGAAUGUGUGUUGCCCAGACCUGGAGGGGGGAGGGGUUCCCAAGGGCUGCACCUCCUUUAAUAAGCCCCCUGGAGCAUUUGUGUGUAUAAUAAUAUGAUAGUAUGUCAUAACACGUCAUAGUUUUAAAUACAAUUGAUCCUCACUUUUCACAAGUUCUUUGUGAAUUCACUUAAAUUUAUUUGUAACCCCAAAAUUAACACUCGUGAUUUUGCGGUCAUUUGCAGACAUGCGCAGAGUAGCAAAAAUCUGAGUUGCCUGAUGGCACACAUUCCCAGCUGAGGUCAGACAUGGGAAGGCUCUACCUUCUUGUUUCAGCUCAAACUUUUCUAUGGAAUGCAGGGUUUUUGAAUUUUUUGCUUUUUGUUGGUGAUUUCUGUUUAAAAUGGCCCCCAAGUGUAGUGCCAGAGUGCCAUCUAAUAGUGUUCUUAUGUGCAAGAAGGUGGUGGUGAACCUGAGGUAAGCUUCAUUCAGGCAUGAGUUACAGUGCUGUUGGCUGCAAGUCCAGCGUUCAUGAGUCCAUGAUACUUAUUUACAAAGGUGUCUCUAAACAGAAACACAUAAAACAAGGUUAUGUAUCGAUCAGCGGAUGGGACCUGAUGUUGAGAGCUCACGGGAAGCCAGCCCUGUAUUUCCCUGAUGGUUCGGUAUUCCCUGCGUCAGUGUUCUGGGCGACUGUGGCGAACGUACCUACCGGGAAUAGUGAGAAUCAGUCAGAGAGGAAGUGACCUGCAUGCACAAGCCUGGACUUACAGAGAUGUCUUUCCUAAAGCGAGGAACUGUCGGGUAUGGCUGCAUCUCCCCUGGAGAAUCAGGCCGCCGGACUGAGGAGUCCUGCCUGGAAUGUAGGACCACAGGAAGCGGCGCUGGGGUCUCCCUGGUGAAACAAAACAGCAGCCCUUGUGCCCAUGUCCUCGGUCACGCAUGUCUCCCCCCUUCAGCCGCGCCCCGAGCCCUGUGCUCACGUCCACCUCCGCCCUCGUCCCUCUGCCAGUCAGCAGCGUCGCCCUCACUCCGGGACGUCCUCGUCUCGCCAACGCCGGCCCCUUCGUGGCCUUCAUACAAUUGUGCACACUCCUCUCAGCGUUCCUGACAGUACUGCCUCCUGCCUUUCUGUCCUUCCCUUGCUUGCUUCUCCUCUGGGGGGACUCAGCGCUGUCAUCUGUGGACACUCUGGCCAAGAUCUUAUCUAGCCCGUGGCUUUAAAUACCGUCCUCACUGAUGCCUUCUUCUGGGUUUGUGGAUUCAACUUCCCUUUGGAGCCUCAGACUCGUGUCCAUCUGCCUGCCUACCGCCUCCUCUUGGAUGUCUAAUGGGCACCGUGCCCUUUAAGAAAAACAAGCUUUUCACCCCCUAAGCACAUUCUUCCUCCAUCUUCCCGCCCAGUGCCCAUCACUGUUUCCUCUGCCACACCAGCACCCCCCACACCCCCAGACUUACCUCUGAGCUCCGUAAGUACGAGGACCUGCUUGUCCUGCUCUCUGCUGUACCCCUAGUGCCAGCACAGUGCUUGGGACGAAACAGAUGCUCAAUAAACAUCAGUUAGAUGACGGUCCAAGUCCCAGUGACUGAAAGCUGUUCAUGUCCGAAACACUGCUUCUGUGGCAGGAAGAACUAAGUAGACAGAUGCAGUUAGUUAACGUUCGUUGGAAACAGCUAAAAUGCCCACUGUGCAGCAGUGCCGGCUGAGGACCUGCCUAAAAACUCCAGGCUCCCUGCUCACACCCCAGACUCCAAUUCAACACCGUUCAGGCCCAAAAUAGGCAUUUGAAACAAGUACCCCAGGAGAUUACAGAUCCUCCUGCCCCGUACCUUAAGAAACACUGGUUUGGAGCAUAUUAAAUACCAUUACUAUUUUAUUUUUUUAAAGAUUUUAUUGGGGAAGGGGAACAGGACUUUAUUGGGGAACAAU